GCGUGCUUAACACAUGCAAGUCGAACGGUAAGGCUCCAGCUUGCUGGGGUACACGAGUGGCGAACGGGUGAGUAACACGUGGGUGACCUGCCCUGCACUUCGGGAUAAGCCUGGGAAACUGGGUCUAAUACCGGAUAGGACCAUGGUGUGGAUGCUGUGGUGGAAAGUUUUUUCGGUGUGGGAUGGGCCCGCGGCCUAUCAGCUUGUUGGUGGGGUAAUGGCCUACCAAGGCGGCGACGGGUAGCCGGCCUGAGAGGGUGGACGGCCACAUUGGGACUGAGACACGGCCCAGACUCCUACGGGAGGCAGCAGUGGGGAAUAUUGCACAAUGGGCGGAAGCCUGAUGCAGCGACGCCGCGUGGGGGAUGACGGCCUUCGGGUUGUAAACUCCUUUCACCAUCGACGAAGGGUUUCUGACGGUAGAUGGAGAAGAAGCACCGGCUAACUACGUGCCAGCAGCCGCGGUAAUACGUAGGGUGCGAGCGUUGUCCGGAAUUACUGGGCGUAAAGAGCUCGUAGGUGGUUUGUCGCGUCGUCUGUGAAAUUCCGGGGCUUAACUCCGGGCGUGCAGGCGAUACGGGCAUAACUUGAGUACUGUAGGGGAGACUGGAAUUCCUGGUGUAGCGGUGAAAUGCGCAGAUAUCAGGAGGAACACCGGUGGCGAAGGCGGGUCUCUGGGCAGUAACUGACGCUGAGGAGCGAAAGCAUGGGGAGCGAACAGGAUUAGAUACCCU
rnacentral:rRNA from 1 species